AAGUUUUAAAAGGGAUUUUCAAACUUUGUGUCAAUAAUUAUGACCUUAUCUCCUGGCAGUGACUUUCAGCAGUCAAAGAGACUAAUAACUAAAAAAUUAAUAUUGUUUGUAAUAAAUUACAUGAGCAAUACUCAUAAAAUCAACAGUCCACAUUCAAAGGAAAUCUACUAUUAGAUGGUUAAAUGUUAGGUUCUUUGUCAUGUAAUAUAUCCCAAAGGCUUAGAGACAAAUUGAUAUUUUAGCAAUUUGAACAACUGAUAUCUAAUGUAAACUGUCGACAUAGAGAAUUAUUUCAGAAACGUGUGUAUUAUUCUUAAUCCUUUUCUCUUAAGGUGGAGGGAUUUUAUGUAAAAUUGACUUUUUUAAAACUUUACACCAUGUUAUAAUGUUACUCCUAUAUCAAAAAUAUA